UACGUAGGGUGCAAGCGUUGUCCGGAAUUAUUGGGCGUAAAGAGCUCGUAGGCGGUCUGUCGCGUCGGCUGUGAAAACCCGGGGCUCAACCCCGGGCCUGCAGUCGAUACGGGCAGACUAGAGUGCGGUAUGGGAGACUGGAAUUCCUGGUGUAGCGGUGAAAUGCGCAGAUAUCAGGAGGAACACCGGUGGCGAAGGCGGGUCUCUGGGCCGUAACUGACGCUGAGGAGCGAAAGCGUGGGGAGCGAACAGG
rnacentral:rRNA from 1 species